CCUACGGGAGGCAGCAGUGAGGAAUAUUGGUCAAUGGACGAGAGUCUGAACCAGCCAAGUAGCGUGAAGGAUGACUGCCCUAUGGGUUGUAAACUUCUUUUAUAAAGGAAUAAAACGAGGCACGUGUGCCUUUUUUGCAUGUACUUUAUGAAUAAGGAUCGGCUAACUCCGUGCCAGCAGCCGCGGUAAUACGGAGGAUCCGAGCGUUAUCCGGAUUUAUUGGGUUUAAAGGGAGCGUAGAUGGGUUGUUAAGUCAGUUGUGAAAGUUUGCGGCUCAACCGUAAAAUUGCAAUUGAUACUGGCAGUCUUGAGUACAGUUGAGGUAGGCGGAAUUCGUGGUGUAGCGGUGAAAUGCUUAGAUAUCACGAAGAACCCCGAUUGCGAAGGCAGCUUACUAAACUGUGACUGACAUUGAUGCUCGAAAGUGUGGGUAUCAAACAGGAUUAGAUACCCUAGUAGUC
rnacentral:rRNA from 1 species